rnacentral:tRNA from 1 species
GCCUGGCUGGCUCAGUUGGUAGAGCCUCAGACUCUCGAUCUCAGGGUUGUGAGUUCAAGCCCCACACUGGGCA